rnacentral:rRNA from 1 species
GACGAACGCUGGCGGCGUGCUUAACACAUGCAAGUCGAGCGGUAAGGCCUUUCGGGGUCCACGAGCGGCGAACGGGUGAGUAACACGUGGGUGAUCUGCCCUGCACUUCGGGAUAAGCCUGGGAAACUGGGUCUAAUACCGGAUAUGACCUCCUAUCGCAUGGUGGGUGGUGGAAAGAUUUAUCGGUGCAGGAUGGGCCCGCGGCCUAUCAGCUUGUUGGUGGGGUAAUGGCCUACCAAGGCGACGACGGGUAGCCGACCUGAGAGGGUGACCGGCCACACUGGGACUGAGACACGGCCCAGACUCCUACGGGAGGCAGCAGUGGGGAAUAUUGCACAAUGGGCGAAAGCCUGAUGCAGCGACGCCGCGUGAGGGAUGACGGCCUUCGGGCUGUAAACCUCUUUCAGCAGGGACGAAGCGCAAGUGACGGUACCUGCAGAAGAAGCACCGGCUAACUACGUG